GAUGAACGCUAGCGGGAGGCCUAACACAUGCAAGCUGAGCGGUAGAGUUUCUUCGGAGACUUGAGAGCGGCGUACGGGUGCGGAACACGUGUGCAACCUGCCUUUAUCAGGGGGAUAGCCUUUCGAAAGGAAGAUUAAUACCCCAUAGUAUAUAGAGUGGCACCACUUUAUAUUGAAAACUGAGGUGGAUAAAGAUGGGCACGCGCAAGAUUAGAUAGUUGGUGAGGUAACGGCUCACCAAGUCGAUGAUCUUUAGGGGGCCUGAGAGGGUGAUCCCCCACACUGGUACUGGGAAACGGACCAGACUCCUACGGGAGGCAGCAGUGAGGAAUAUUGGACAAUGGGUUAGCGCCGAUCCAGCCAUCCCGCGUGAAGGACGACGGCCCUAUGGGUUGUAAACUUCUUUUGUACAGGGAUAAACCUAUUUACGUGUAAAUAGCUGAAGGUACUGUACGAAUAAGCACCGGCUAACUCCGUGCCAGCCGCCGCCGUAA
rnacentral:rRNA from 1 species